UACGGAGGGUGCGAGCGUUGUCCGGAAUCAUUGGGCGUAAAGGGCGCGUAGGUGGCCCAGCAAGCGUGCGGUGAAAGCUCGGGGCUCAACCCCGAGUCGGCCGUGCGAACUGCUGGGCUGGAGCACUGUAGAGGCAGGCGGAAUUCCGGGUGUAGCGGUGAAAUGCGCAGAUAUCAGGAGGAACACCGGUGGCGAAGGCGCCACUCUGGGCCGGUACUGACGCUGAGGAGCGAAAGCGUGGGUAGCAAACAGG
rnacentral:rRNA from 1 species